GUCGAGAGGCUUCGGCAAUGGGGGAAACCCUGACCGAGCGACGCCGCGUGGGUGAUGAAGUCCUUCGGGAUGUAAAACCCUGUCAUACGGGAUGAAAAGUUGAUUGGUGAAUAGCCUUUCAGCUUGACAGUACUGUAAGAGGAAGCUCCGGCCAACUCCGUGCCAGCAGCCGCGGUAAUACGGGGGGAGCGAGCGUUAUUCGGAUUCACUGGGCGUAAAGGGUUCGUAGGCGGUCGAGUAGGUCAGAGGUGAAAUCCAACGGCUUAACCGUUGAACGGCCUUUGAAACCGCUCGACUUGAGGACAUGAGAGGAAAGCGGAAUUCUCGGUGUAGCGGUGAAAUGCGUGGAUAUCGAGAGGAACACCAGUGGCGAAGGCGGCUUUCUGGCAUGUUUCUGACGCUGAGGAACGAAAGCUAGGGGAGCGAACGGGAUUAGAUACCCCAGUAGUCC
rnacentral:rRNA from 1 species